rnacentral:rRNA from 1 species
ACAGCAAUAGCCGCGGUAAUACAGAGGGUGCGAGCGUUAAUCGGAUUUACUGGGCGUAAAGCGUGCGUAGGCGGCUUCUUAAGUCGGAUGUGAAAUCCCUGAGCUUAACUUAGGAAUUGCAUUCGAUACUGGGAAGCUAGAGUAUGGGAGAGGAUGGUAGAAUUCCAGGUGUAGCGGUGAAAUGCGUAGAGAUCUGGAGGAAUACCGAUGGCGAAGGCAGCCAUCUGGCCUAAUACUGACGCUGAGGUACGAAAGCAUGGGGAGCAAACAGGAUUAGAUACCCCGGUAGUCCCUGUCUCUUAUAC